CAGUCGCCGCGGUAACACGUAGGUGGCAAGCGUUGUCCGGAAUUAUUGGGCGUAAAGGGCUCGCAGGCGGUUUCUUAAGUCUGAUGUGAAAGCCCCCGGCUCAACCGGGGAGGGUCAUUGGAAACUGGGAAACCUGAGUGCAGAAGAGGAGAGUGGAAUUCCACGUGUAGCGGCGAAAUGCGUAGAGAUGUGGAGGAACACCAGUGGCGAAGGCGACUCUCUGGUCUGUAACUGACGCUGAGGAGCGAAAGCGUGGGGAGCGAACAGGAUUAGAUACCCCCGUAGUCCCUGUCUCUUAUAA
rnacentral:rRNA from 1 species